UACGGAGGAUCCAAGCGUUAUCCGGAAUCAUUGGGUUUAAAGGGUCCGUAGGCGGUUUGGUAAGUCAGUGGUGAAAGCCCAUCGCUCAACGGUGGAACGGCCAUUGAUACUGCCAGACUUGAAUUAUUAGGAAGUAACUAGAAUAUGUAGUGUAGCGGUGAAAUGCUUAGAGAUUACAUGGAAUACCAAUUGCGAAGGCAGGUUACUACUAAUGGAUUGACGCUGAUGGACGAAAGCGUGGGGAGCGAUCCGG
rnacentral:rRNA from 1 species